rnacentral:lncRNA from 1 species
UAUAGAUAAUACCCCCUGGUUUUAUCUUCUGCAGAACAUGAACAACCAACCAUAAAAACUGUUGAUAAGAGACCCUUACUGAGAUAUGGAUCAUAGCGCAAAGCCAUCUCUCCUCAAUGUAGGUUGGAUCCUACAUAUUUCUGCAUUAAAUAAUUGAUACAUCCAGAAGAGUACACUAUAAAUGACACCAAACCUGGAGAUAG